CGAACGAUGAAGCCUUUCGGGGUGGAUUAGUGGCGAACGGGUGAGUAACACGUGGGCAAUCUGCCCUGCACUCUGGGACAAGCCCUGGAAACGGGGUCUAAUACCGGAUACGACACAUCACUGCAUGGUGAAUGUGUGGAAAGCUCCGGCGGUGCAGGAUGAGCCCGCGGCCUAUCAGCUUGUUGGUGGGGUAAUGGCCUACCAAGGCGACGACGGGUAGCCGGCCUGAGAGGGCGACCGGCCACACUGGGACUGAGACACGGCCCAGACUCCUACGGGAGGCAGCAGUGGGGAAUAUUGCACAAUGGGCGAAAGCCUGAUGCAGCGACGCCGCGUGAGGGAUGACGGCCUUCGGGUUGUAAACCUCUUUCAGCAGGGAAGAAGCGAAAGUGACGGUACCUGCAGAAGAAGCACCGGCUAACUACGUGCCAGCAGCCGCGGUAAUACGUAGGGUGCGAGCGUUGUCCGGAAUUAUUGGGCGUAAAGAGCUCGUAGGCGGCUUGUCACGUCGGAUGUGAAAGCCCGGGGCUUAACCCCGGGUCUGCAUUCGAUACGGGCAGGCUAGAGUUCGGUAGGGGAGAUCGGAAUUCCUGGUGUAGCGGUGAAAUGCGCAGAUAUCAGGAGGAACACCGGUGGCGAAGGCGGAUCUCUGGGCCGAUACUGACGCUGAGGAGCGAAAGCGUGGGGAGCGAACAGGAUUAG
rnacentral:rRNA from 1 species